rnacentral:piRNA from 1 species
UGGAAUGGCCAAAUAUCAAGGUGAAGUU